CCCGAAAGGUCGAAAGAGGAAAUUCAUUCGCGUUUCGGCUGUCGGAGUUGGACGUUCGUAUGACGGAUGAUGUUUCGGCGUCGUCUGCGUCUUACGUUCUUCGAAUCGAUGUCGAACGCGUGCACUUUUCCUCUAGUAGGACGUCGCGAUCCGUUGGGUGUCUGUCUAAGGCUCAAAGUGGAGCCCACUCGAUUUUUGAUCGUGUGGACCUUUGAUGUCCCGACAGACUCGCUCGACGGUAUACUAAUGGUGCGAGGCCGCUAAAACAGUUAGCGUUCGGCCCGUAGCAAGCACGUUCCGUGUUUGAUGGCGAUCGGACCUGGUGCCGAUUCUGUCCCGGAACGACUGUUGGUUACGGUGUUCUCGAACUGACCUCGUUUUGAAACACCGAUCAGCGACGCUAUAGAUUUGGGUACUUUCAGGACCCGUCUUGAAACACGGACCAAGGAGUCUAGCAUGUGCGCGAGUCAUUGGGAUACGACUAAACCUAAAGGCGUAAUGAAAGUAAAGGUUUACCUUGCGUAGACCGAGGGAAGAUGAGCGGUUCGCUUUUACUAGUGACCGCUUCGCACUCCCGGGGCGUCUCGUUCUCAUUGCGAGAAGAGGCGCAUCAAGAGCGUACACGCUG
rnacentral:rRNA from 1 species